UACGUAGGUGGCAAGCGUUGUCCGGAAUUAUUGGGCGUAAAGCGCGCGCAGGCGGUCCUUUAAGUCUGAUGUGAAGGCCCACGGCUCAACCGUGGAGGGUCAUUGGAAACUGGGGGACUUGAGUACAGAAGAGAAGAGUGGAAUUCCACGUGUAGCGGUGAAAUGCGUAGAGAUGUGGAGGAACACCAGUGGCGAAGGCGACUCUCUGGUCUGUAACUGACGCUGAGGCGCGAAAGCGUGGGGAGCAAACAGG
rnacentral:rRNA from 1 species